rnacentral:pre_miRNA from 15 species
AGUAGGAUACCUGGUUUUCUUACUGCCCUCGGCUUCUUUACAGUGCUGCCUUGUUGCAUAUGGAUCAAGCAGCAUUGUACAGGGCUAUGAAGGCAUUGAGACUUAUUCUUCACAUGAAAU